GGCCGUGCUGAUGGAGGGGCCGUGCUGAUGGAGGAGCCGUGCUGAUGGAGGAGCCGUGCUGAUGGAGGAGCCGUGCUGAUGGAGGAGCCGUGCUGAUGGAGGAGCCGUGCUGAUGGAGGAGCCGUGCUGAUGGAGGAGCCGUGCUGAUGGAGGAGCCGUGCUGAUGGAGGAGCCGUGCUGAUGGAGGAGCCGUGCUGAUGGAGGAGCCGUGCUGAAGGCCCUGCCUGGUGGAGGAGCUGCUGGAGGGCCUGCCUGGUGAAUGACGUCCGUCGUGGGAAAGUGUUUCUGGAGCAGAGGCGAGUUGGUAGAGGAGCCGUGAAUCUGGAGGAUGACAUCACCCUACCAACAAGGAUCCUCGUCUAUCAUGGAUAUUUAACUGCAGUUCUGUGAGUAUCCCAACUUAACCAUGAAGAUGAACUGCAAACUGUAAGUCAUACGUUUCUCAUUACUCUUGGGCACAUCAAUGUAUUUUGGCUUCCUGGUGAGUUAGCCCAUUACCUGAGGGUUGAUCUGAGUCGUAAGGAUGUUUUAUUGGUUCAUGGGUUGUUUGGUUUAUGUUGGUUUUAAUGAUUUGUUAAAAUGGUUACAGGCUCCAAGUUAUUGUUGUAAGCUGGAGUAAUGGGUUGGGUUCUGAUAUCAUCAGUCUUUUUUUCAGCUACUCUCCUGAGCUCUGCAUCUUCAUCACAGGAGUGUUGCUUUACUGAUGAGGGUAAGGUAUGAGUGAGCGGAGCUGCAUACUGGGAUACAGAGCUGUCUGAAGUCUACAGGUCUGUAGACAAGCCCCCUCAGCGGAAACUGAGUGUUUGAGAAACCCUUGUGACGUCAGUUCCAUGGACUGGAAUGUUCUUAAAGAUGGAGACAGGGAUUCGGAAGGAGAAACACCAGGGGGGAUGAGGGGGCUCUUCAUCUCAACGACUAAAACACAACUUCAGUCUGACGCAGAGAACCAUGGAACACAUUCAACAGUCCCCUCAGACAUCGUGACUCCUCAGGAACAGUUUCAUUUCCAUGAAGGUCUUAUUGGGGCCAUCCCCAGACGGAUCCUGCUCCUCAAGAGCCACCCCCCUCCACUGAGUGGUCUUCUGAACAGAUGACCUCCUUCCUUCCUCAGGCUGACUAAAGCUCUACCGUUUGCAUCAGUGAAUGCCCCUCAUUCAGGAAACCACUCGACUACAAAGACAUGACUUCAGAGACGUUGAAUCAACCUGGGACACAUUUUGGAGACUCCAAGCAUAAUCCAUCACCAAUGUGGGACGCCACUGAAGAAUGUUGUGCAUAAGAAAACGUCUCUGGAGACAUUGGUUGUUCUGUUCUGUUCUGGUUGCCCUGGCAGGAGAGCUGGGGGGGGGGGAUGAUGGAAUGUUAUUUGGCAUGAGGUUUUUACCUUGCAUGAUUGUUUGGCCUUUUAUGGCUCAGUGGUGUGUGUGUGUGUGUGUGUUCGGGUUUGACAUGAGAUGGAUGAUUUUUGAGCAUCGCUAGGGUUCUGCUGUGUGUCUCUCCCACUCACACCUGGCAUGGGGUUCUACGUGCCUGUCCUGGGUUAUGUGUGUGUCCGGCUUGCUGUGACAGUGAUGAUGUUCAGGCGGGGGUCUGUGUGAUUGGCUUGGGAUAUUGGAAUGGUCAAAUAAAUCACACCUGAUGGACGGCCACACGUUUACUUAAGGGCAUCCAGUAGACAUGAAGAGCCCUGAGCGACGCUCCCGAGCGAUAUCCAACACACUGGGCAGGAAGGAGAGUAUCCAAAUCAAAUGUAAAAGGAUGCAAGCAGCGUGUUCAGAUCAGUGACCUCAAACUAGGACUACACCAAUCAGGAUCAAUGGAGGAUGGACACCUAAAGGAAUUCAGAAAUAAGCUGAAAUCUAACACACAAGGAGACUGACAUUGGAAAGGGACCUAAAUGGAUAUUCAAGAUGACCUUCAGACCUGUAAUGAGACGGCUCUUCUUACCUGGCUGGAUUGAUGGAGAGCCCUGUGGAUCUUGUCUUGCUCUCAGUUGCACGCCUUCUCAGGCUGAACUGUAUAUGUUUGGGACAUAGCCUGACUCUGAAGUGAUCAUCACACGCACUGCCACUUCUCGUAGAAUACUGCUACCACAAACUACCGGCGUUUGUACCAUAUAUACCCGACGACUACAUCUGUUUUACCACAUGUUGAAGCCAGACUUCCGCUGUUUGUUCCAGACCAGGACUCUGUCUGAGGAGAGCUGCUGGAGGAGCUGAGACGCUGGAGGACGACUAGGAAUCGACCAACAAGGAUUCCUCAACGUGUUUCUGGAGCGGAGGUGAGCUGGUAGGGGAGUCGUGAAUCUGGAGGAUGACCAUCACUCUACCAACAAGGAGUACUUUAGGGCCAGACUCGCGCUCUUUGUUCCAGACUUGGACUCUGGCUGAGGAGAGCUGAUGGAGGAGCCAAGACUCUGGAGGACGACAUCACUCUACCAAACAGGAUCCUCACCUGGAAUCUGGAGGACCGAUGGAGAAGCCGUACAUCUGGAAGGCAACUCCUUAGGACAACCAGGAAUCUACCAUCAAGGAUUCCUUAUAAGUUUGCAUUAUCUGGACAUAGUGGACUAGACACCCCUGAGCUCAACCUCACCUGAUCCUGUUUUGUCGGGGUAGACACACCUGAGCUGAACCCGCCCUGAUCCUGACAUCCUGCUGGUCCAGUCUCCUCAGUUCAUCUGAGCCUCGUCCUCCAGAAGACCUGCUGAGCUCAGCAGUCUGAGGCUGAUGGAUCAAUGACCUCCAGUGGGAGUGAUCUUCUUGACCCCACAUGUAACCGUGUGCUUCCACACGCCUUUCCCUCUCAUCUGUCACUAACCUCACUACUUCACUACUCUCUACUGCUUCCUCUUUUCUUCCUUCUCUGUGGUUCGAACCUUUACACUGAAGGCGCGUCUUCCUGCCCUCAGAGGGUUCAGCGUUAGGGUUGAGAGUCAGGGUUUAGAGUUAGGGACAGAGCUGGUCAGGGAGGACUGCUUUUACACAAACGUCUUCACUUGCUUUCGGAAUGGUGGACAUUUUGAAAAGAUUCAUUUGGGAAAAAAAAUUCCUCUGCUUUCCUUUACAAAAUUGUGUUAAACUUCUGUCAAGUGUUUUUGUUUUUUAUAUUAAAA